rnacentral:lncRNA from 1 species
GGUGAACGGCGGGGCAACAAAAUAGAAGCUAGGGCCGAAAACCCUAGCAGAGUGUUUCAAUUUCUUUUUUUAUUUUUCUUUGUUUUUUUGCUGCAGAUAUUUUAGUUUUAAAAAAACUAAUUUAAGUAGUAUUAGCGAAACGGCGCCAUUUUAGGGGAGCAGGAUCCGUGCGUCGACUCGACCAGCAAGCAGGGUUCGCACUUCCUGGCCCUAAAUGGUCCAUUUGCGCAAUUGGUCCCUCAGUUUUUAAAAGAGUGUUUAAAUCAACUUUUUGUUCCUUUAAAAUUUGGCCACACGUUUU